rnacentral:rRNA from 1 species
AAGCUCAUCUGGAGGACCUGGGCGCCGCCUAGAGUGAAGUUCUUCCAUUGGCUGGCCUGCCAAGACCGCUGCUGGACUGCCGAGCGACUCGCGCGCCGCGGCCUGCAGCAUCACCCGCGGUGCCUGCUGUGUGACCAGGAACCGGAGACGAUCAGACACUUGAUGCUCACAUGCCCAUUCACCAGGCAGACAUGGCACGAGGUCCUAUCUUGGCUGCGCUUGCCGGCGCCGACACCCGAGCACGAUGAUUCGCUUAUGGACUGGUGGCUGCGUGCGAAGGAGUUCACACCGCCCACUCUACGCAAGGCGCUGAAAUCCGCAGCGCUCUUGAUGCCGUGG